CCCAUAUCUCUUCUGCUCAGCACGUGCUUUGAAAAGAUGAAAAGAUCUAAAAGAUCUUGAGAAAUGUUUUAGUUUGUGAGCCAAAACGGCUAAAUUUUUUAUUGUAAUCAACUUUUUAACGUUUCAAUUUGUGCAUCACUUGUGCUGAAUUAGUCUUCAUCAAAGGAUGUCAUCUGCUUAUACUGGAAAGGAAAUCAAACCGAUCAAAUUCUCAGGUUGUUUUGUUGUGUCUGCGCACAGCUGCCAUUGAUUUUGUUCAAUUAGGACCUUGUGAAACCUUUGGAAACACAAUGGAACAAGAAAAGAACUUCCAUUGUUUGAUUCUACUCAAAGAAGGCUGGAGCACAUAUUCUCUUUCUCCCCCGUCCUCGGGGAAGUAGCCGGUCGUUACGCCAGACGUAAUUGUCUGCGUCCAGCUCACUCAUGUUCUGUGGCAAAUAGAAACCUUGAGAGACAUGCGUUCCCACUGGUCCUAUUCCUUGGCGCAGCCCCCGCGAUAUAUACUACUGGGCCUACCAAAUGUCGGAGGAGGCACGCAGGUCAUGACAGGUAGCACGUCAAUGUUAAUUAUAGCAUUGAAAUUGGAUUUGGGACCAUCCCACGCCAACUACAGCCUUAAAGAUGAUAGACGCAUAUGAGUUUAUAGAAGGUUAAAGAAUUAUUUAUAGCCCGGUUAGCCCCAUAAAGGAAUUCGUGAACAGUAUCUAGAUCCGUUUUCACUGAAUGAGGUUAUGUUACAUCCUAGCGUAAAAGCCAAACAAAAGCAAGUAAUAACUGACUAAAAACGAAUUCUUCCGAGUCAAAUUGGACUAUCGAUCGAGGAGUAAUGGACCCUUUUCGGUGGUUCACUCGCCCUGAAAAUUCCGAAAACCAGCAGCCUGGAAUUCCAGAAAAACGAACUCACGAAACACGAACAAUUAAAAUCAGUAAAUCACCUGCAUCUCAAUUUAUCGUACGUAUGCAUGGCAUUCUGAAUUCUGCAUGCUUUCUGAUUGAUGAACACAGCACCCGGAUUAAGCCCGAGUUUUCUUUUUACGAUCUAGGUAUUUUUUUAAUAUU